rnacentral:misc_RNA from 1 species
GAUGAAGAACGCAGCGAAAUGCGAUACUUGGUGUGAAUUGCAGAAUCCCGUGAACCAUCGAGUCUUUGAACGCAAGUUGCGCCCGAAGCCAUUAGGCCGAGGGCACGCCUGCCUGGGUGUCACACACCGUUACCCUCGCGCCAACGUCCAUCGUUGGCCGCGGCGCGGGGCGUGCGCUGACCUCCCGCGAGCGGGGUCUCGUGGUUGGUUGAAAAUCGAGUUCGCGGUCGAGGGUGCCGUGAUGAAAUGGUGGAUGGGCGACGCCCGAGGCCAAUCACGCGCGACUCUGUNCNGCNNNNNCUCCUGGACCCCUUCGGCGUCUCCGGACGCUCUUUGGCGAGACCUCAGGUCAGGCGGGGCUACCCGCUGAGUUUAAGCAUAUCAAUAAGCGGAGGA